rnacentral:rRNA from 1 species
UAGUCCACGCUGUAAACGAUGGUCACUCGAUAUAUGCGCUUUGCGCAUGUGUCCAAGCGAAAGCAUUAAGUGACCCACCUGGGAAGUACGCUCGCAAGAGUGAAACUUAAAGGAAUUGACGGGGGUCCGCACAAGCGGUGGAACGUGUGGUUUAAUUCGAUACUACGCGAAGAACCUUACCUAGGCUAGAAUGUAUGUCGCUAUACCAAGAGAUUGGUAGUUCUGCGAGGACGACAUACAAGGUGCUGCAUGACUGUCGUCAGCUCGUGCCGUGAGGUGUUUGGUUAAGUCCUGUAACGAGCACAACCCCUAUGCUUAGUUGCCAGCACGUAAUGGUGGGAACUCUAAGCAGACUGCCUGCGAAAGCAGUGAGGAAGGUGGGGAUGAGGUCAAGUCAUCAUGGCUCUUACGCCUAGGGCUACACACGUGUUACAAUGGCGUGCACAAUGGGCUGCUAUCUGGCAACAGAAUGCUAAUA